rnacentral:lncRNA from 1 species
AUGUGCUUUUCUGUUUUUAGCAGUAAAGGAGGCCAUUUUAAGAAUGCCCAUGUUACUGUAGAUAAACAGAAGAAAAGAGGGCCAAAACAGGAAACAGAUGACAAAGGACAAAGCAGACCGGAGCCUCUGGAGGACACAUUCAAUGAAGAGACAGAAUUACAGAGCUCUCCUGCUGGGCCAAUUACGAAGAAGAAGAGGGUGAAAGGGGAGGAGCAGAGAGGUCUGCCUAAGGAGAAUGGGAAGGCCUCUAGAAAAAGAAAAGACCGGGUGAAAGGUCAAGCGGAGUUUGUUGUCGGAAAGCCUAAAGGUCAGAGAGCGGAGAAGAAAAUCCAGGAGACAAGAGGGACAGAGGAGAGGUCUGCUCCGAGUCUAGACGGUGGUGGGACGGCGAUUAGACAACAGUGGGACAACCUGUUCUCUGAGACUGAGGGGGAGGAGCCUAUGGACCGUGUCCAUUCCCAUACAUCCAAUUACAGCUCUGUAAACAGGAACUCCUCAACCAAUGAGCAGUCGUGUCAGAUAUCUGUUAAAUCCACUUCCUGUGUUGAGGAGGUUCAACACUACGUACAGCAACAUUCCUCACAUGAUCAACUGUCGUCCCACUCGGUUGUCAUGGCAGCAGAAAACCAAUCGUUAAAUCUUGUCAUAUCUGACACCAACAGCAAUACGGACAAGAACCGAGAAUCGGUUGCCGACUACAAGGAACUACAGACAAAGACGUUAGCUGAGAAGGACAUACAAAAGAAAGUGUUGGCAGAGAAAGCAGAGCGUCGCCGCUUAGAGGUAGAGAGGAAGAGGAAGGAGAAAGAGGAGGAAAGGAGGAAGCAGCAGGAACAGGAGGAAAGAGAGGAGAAAAUCAGGAUUGAGCUGGAGGAGGAGCAGAAACAACGAGCAGAAGACUUCAGGUAGGAGGGCUGACUCGCAAACUAACUUCUGUAGUGAUGGGCAGACCACAUCACUGCCCUCCAU